GUUUUCUAUCAAUAGAAUAUUAAAUUGUUUUUUUUUCAGAACAUUUGAAUAGUUAAUUUUAUCUACCGGGUUGGUUUCUAAAUCUAAUUUGUCAUAAAUUGUAUUUUAUUAAGUCUUCAUAUCAUCUUUCAACUACUUCCACUUGUUGGCUCCGGAUCUGGCGACGACAUCUUAAGCUGCAUAAACCACCAAUCUCUAGAUGGCCCCGAAAAUAACAUGUAUCUGACUGACAUCCUGAGUCGGGUAUAACUGUUGUAGAUACUCGCUUCUUGUUGUAAAGCGGGUUAGAUCUCCUGGGGAUCCAUUGAAGUAAGGCAAUUCGAUAAUUUGGCCCAACAUUUGGUUGUGGUGGGCCUCUGACAAUUGUGCAACUGCCAUUUUAAAUUUUUUGUUUUUCACAGAAUAAAUCUGACCGAACUGGA